rnacentral:lncRNA from 1 species
UUUCCUUUGAAGACCACCUGGCUACCAAUAACGGUCUCACCAGCCAAAUCCUGUAUUUGUGGGCCAAGACAGAAGAAGAACAACAAUGAAAAAAAGCUGGAAAUCUUAGAGCAGACUCACAUCUUAACUAGGAGAAUACGUGCUGGCCCAAGUGCCCCAGGACUGAAGCAAAUCAGACAUAGGGGAGGAGGGAGAAUGUUAGAAUGAGGCACACCUGAUUCAGCCGCUAAAUAGUCUGGUUGGCUAAGAAUCACAAUCGAGGCAUUUUGCCUUUCUAGUUUUCUUUGGUGAAGAUCUGUGAGCAUCCAAAUGAUAUGAAGAGCAAUAUGGCUAAUCUGCACUACUUCGGAAGCCUGGGAGGAAUACUUCCUCUUUGCUGGAUGUGGCGUCUGCGUGUACCAUCUGGAAUUGCUGUAGCCAACUUACAAAUACAGACGAAAGCUUUAUCAACCUGCUGAGCACAGCAGAAUGGAAAGAUGCAAAGCACCCUGCUCUUGGGAACUGGCCACCUUCAGACUUCUUGCUACAUCAGGUUUUAUCUACUACAAAGGAUAUCACUUGGGAAGGAAUUUCUUGAAACUGCUCCCAAGAGAGCCAUUGGACCAUGUGGUAAACAACUCCUAGCUGAUGGAUUAUUGGGAAUAUUAACAUCAUCCAGAAUGCUAUGGGGAGAAGACAACUGGAAGCUCCGUGUGGACAAACCUCCUGGACUCUGCCCCACAUAUCUCUUCCCUUGGCUGAUUUGAAUUUUUAGAAGCUGACAGCUGACACGCCCUUCCUUUGUGCAUUUUAUCCUGGGACAAAAUGAGAAGACAUCCUUCAGUUCCCAUCUUGGAUGGCAUAACUUCAAAACCAAGGGAGAUGGAGGAGUUUUAGAGGAGUAGAAGGCUGCAAGCAAGAACUGAUGCAUUACAUCUCCAGUCACCUCACUCUAAGAUUGUCCUGUAGCUAAGACUGUUGAAUGAGACUGUUGUUCUUCAGUUUGCAGCCACAAAGCACGGAGGCAUCUCCCCAAGAAUCCACUGCAGGGAGGAUGAACAGCCCUUACCUGGAUUUUUGCUUUAUCUAAAAAUAUAUUUGUAGAAGAAGGAGCAUUCUAGUUUCCAAAUACAAAGGGCAAUCUCCUUCUCUGUGUGUGCACGUGCAAACAAACACACUUCUACAAGUAAGCAUUCUUCUUUAUUAUCAUAGUCAUCAUCAUCACUGGGUUGGCAACUAAAAACAAAACUACAAAACUCUCAUGUUAGCAGUUGAGUAACUUUUAAUAACCAGAUACAAACCAUUCUUCAUUGUUUACAAGGGGCAUUAAAAAGAAAAGGAGGUUGAACUGCAAUGUGAAGUGUAGUUAAAUAUGUAGACAUCUUGGAUUCUAGAAGAGUUUGUAAUGGAUUAAAGGGUUAAGCUAUGAAAUUGUUGCCCUCUGUGAUUUUUCCACACUAGAACAGACUGACAUGGUUUGAAGCAGUUGGGCUUUAACCUAUAGAUAGGAGGACAGAGAUGAUUGCCUAUGAAGCAAUUAUUAAAUAGCUGCAUUUUGGCAUGUUCUAGUUGAAAAGAUUUAGUUUUACCUAUAUCACCUCAUCAUCACUAAUUUAAUCAUCCUCAGAAAAUGCAAAAAUAAUGAUGUACAUUUGACAAGUCUUAUACAAAAUUAUGUUUCAUAGCUUUGUGGUCAGAAUUAAGCCAUGUUCUAAAAUACAAAUGAAUAGUUUACAGCCCACUAAUUCCUAACUGUAAGUGUUAAGUCUAUAUAAAAAUAAGAGACAAGCUUGUGAUCAGGAAUAGCUUCCAAUUAUGAAAAAUUUAAAUAAAAAUAAUAGAAUGUGCUUAAUUUAUUUAUCAUAUACAAAGUAGACAUAUGUGACCAAAAUGAUUCAUUAUUUUUACGAUUUUCAUGGGAAUAAGUUUGACAAUAUU